rnacentral:rRNA from 1 species
UACGGAGGGUGCAAGCGUUGUUCGGAAUUAUUGGGCGUAAAGCGCGCGCAGGCGGAAAUGUGUGUAAGAUGUGAAAUCUCCAGGCUCAACUUGGAAACUGCGUCUUAAACUGCAUAUCUAGAAUACCGGAGGGGGAUGGGGAGUUUCUCAUGUAGGGGUAAAAUCCGUAGAGAUGAGAAGGAACACCUGAGGCGAAGGCGCCAUCCUGGACGGUUAUUGACGCUGAGGCGCGAAAGCGUGGGGAGCAGACAGGAUUAGAUACCCUGGUAGUCCACGCGGUAAACAAUGGGCACUUGUUAUUAUGGGUAUUGACCCCCGUAGUGACGAAGCUAACGCGUUAAGUGCCCCGCCUGGGGAGUACGGUCGCAAGAUUAAA